UGGUCAAAGUGGAUAACUUGUCGGCUGGAUAACUGCAUCGUUUUGUGUUCUCUAUAGACCUAUGAACUGGGAGAGGAAAUCAUCCAGGCUCUUAGGAUCUCGCAUCCGGCUCUGGAAGAACAUCAGCGGCUCACCGAGUAGUGAACUGGACAAUUGGAAACGCCACACUAACCAAGAGGUUGGUGGUGACGGAUGACGGUUGGUUGACCCCAUCGGAUGGCGAUUGGGUGGCGGCAUUCUCUGUUCUCUCGGCGACGCUUGGAGCGGUCUGCUGAGACGUCGGCACCAGGUUGGACGCCCUCACUCCUUCAUCUCCACCAGCUGGACUCUCAUCGGUAUUCAUUGCGUCAACAGCAUUAUCAAUCCUAGUGUAGGACAAUUGGGCCAGGUUUAGUGGGUCGAA